rnacentral:rRNA from 1 species
AUUAGAGUUUUGAUCCUGGCUCAGAUUGAACGCUGGCGGCAGGCCUAACACAUGCAGUCGAGCGGAUGAGGGGAGCUUGCUCCCUGAUUUAGCGGCGGACGGGUGAGUAAUGCCUAKGAAUCUGCCUGGUAGUGGGGGAUAACGUUCCGAAAGGAACGCUAAUACCGCAUACGUCCUACGGGAGAAAGCAGGGGACCUUCGGGCCUUGCGCUAUCAGAUGAGCCUAGGUCGGAUUAGCUAGUUGGUGAGGUAAUGGCUCACCAAGGCGACGAUCCGUAACUGGUCUGAGAGGAUGAUCAGUCACACUGGAACUGAGACACGGUCCAGACUCCUACGGGAGGCAGCAGUGGGGAAUAUUGGACAAUGGGCGAAAGCCUGAUCCAGCCAUGCCGCGUGUGUGAAGAAGGUCUUCGGAUUGUAAAGCACUUUAAGUUGGGAGGAAGGGCAUUAACCUAAUACGUUAGUGUUUUGACGUUACCAACAGAAUAAGCACCGGCUAACUUCGUGCCAGCAGCCGCGGUAAUACGAAGGGUGCAAGCGUUAAUCGGAAUUACUGGGCGUAAAGCGCGCGUAGGUGGUUCGUUAAGUUGGAUGUGAAAGCCCCGGGCUCAACCUGGGAACUGCAUCCAAAACUGGCGAGCUAGAGUACGGUAGAGGGUGGUGGAAUUUCCUGUGUAGCGGUGAAAUGCGUAGAUAUAGGGAGGAACACCCAGUGGCGAAGGCGACCACCCUGGACUGAUACUGACCU